UGGGGAAUCUUGCACAAUGGGGGCAACCCUGAUGCAGCGACGCCGCGUGAGCGAUGAAGCCCUUCGGGGUGUAAAGCUCUUUCGGCAGGGAAGAUUGUGACGGUACCUGCAGAAGCAGCUGCGGCUAACUACGUGCCAGCAGCCGCGGUAAUACGUAGGCAGCAAGCGUUGUUCGGAGUUACUGGGCGUAAAGGGUGCGUAGGCGGCUCGAUAAGUAUGGUGUGAAAUCUCCCGGCUUAACUGGGAGGGUGCGCUAUAGACUGCCGGGCUAGAGUGUGGGAGAGGAAAGUGGAAUUCCUGGUGUAGCGGUGAAAUGCGUAGAUAUCAGGAGGAACACCGGUGGUGUAAACGGCUUUCUGGACCAUAACUGACGCUGAGGCACGAAAGCGUGGGUAGCAAACAGGAUUAGAUACCCUGGUAGUCCACGCCCUAAACGAUGCAUAUUUGGUGUGGGUCAUUCAGUUGAUCCGUGCCGGAGCUAACGCGUUAAAUAUGCCGCCUGGGGAGUACAGUCGCAGGGCUG
rnacentral:rRNA from 1 species